UGAGCUGAACACAAUACUACACAAACAUAUAAAAUUCUCUAAACAAAACAUUUGACCAACCCAGUAGAUGUGAUCGAACAGUAAACCUAACCACACUAGUACCGCAAGGGAAAAACAUAAGCAACAAACAGCAAAGAUAAAACCUUGUACCUUUCGCAUCAUGGUCUAGCAAGAAACCAAAGACAAGAAGAAUCACAGCCUUCACCCCGAAACCAGAUGAGCUACCUUAAAGCAGCCUAACGGGCACACCCUUCUCUGUAGCAAAAGAGUGGGAAGACUUAAAGGUAGAAGUGAAACGCUUACCGAAUCUGGAGAUAGCUGGCUACCCAAAACAGAAUCUUAGUUCCACCUUAAACCCAAAUAAUAACUACUUAUUUAUCCCUAAGGAUAAUCAAUAGGGGUACAGCCCUAUUGAAACAGGAUACAACCUGAAUUUGAGAGAAAUAAUAACACUUUCACCAAGUAGGCCUUAAAGCAGCCACCUUACACAAUAUCGUUAAAGAAUUCAACCAAAAACCCAAAAACUGACUAAAAACUCCAAACAAACUAAAGGUAAAUCCAUAAUUAUGGAUAUUAUCAUGCUAGAACUAAUAAUAAGACAACCUCUCUAAAUGCACCUAUCCACUAGAACGGAUAAACCACUAGCUAUUAACAGACCACAAUAGGCAAAAACAAAUCAAUAUUCACCUUAAAAUAAACUGUGACCCCAACACAGGCGCAUUAAAAAGAAAGAUCCACUAUUAUAAAAGGAACUCGGCAAACAAAGACCCCAACUGUUUAACAAAAACAUAACCUUUAGCCAAACAAAUAUUAAAGGCAACGCCUGCCCAGUGAACAUUAAACGGCCGCGGUACCCUAACCGUGCAAAGGUAGCGUAAUCAUUUGUCUACUAAUUAUAGACCUGUAUGAAAGGCAAAAUGAGGGCCUAACUGUCUCUUAUAAUAAAUCAAUUAAACUGAUCUCCUAGUAAAAAAGCUAGAAUCCCCACAUAAGACCAGAAGACCCUGUGAAGCUUAAACUAAACUAUUAAACCACAUAAUAGAUACUUUCGGUUGGGGCGACCUUGGAAAAAAAGAGAACUUCCAAACACUAUGACUCAUACCUCAAACCCCAUUUAGGCCCACAAGCCAACAAACGACCCAGCAAAGCUGAUAAUUGAACCAAGUUACUCCAGGGAUAACAGCGCAAUCUUCUUCAAGAGCCCAUAUCAAAAAGAAGGUUUACGACCUCGAUGUUGGAUCAGGACAUCCUAAUGGUGCAGCCGCUAUUAAGGGUUCGUUCGUUCAACGAUUAACAGUCCUACGUGAUCU
rnacentral:rRNA from 1 species